GUUUAUAUUCCUGUUUUUUUGUUGUUGUUGUUUCCGAUUUCAGUUGCUGUUGUUGGUAAUAAUGGAGUCGGAAAAAGUACGUUUUUGAAGCUAUUAAUCGGGCAGCUUGAACCGUUGAAGGGCGAGGCAAUACGAAAUCACAGACUUCGUUUAGGUUCUUAUAACCAGCACUCGGCAGACCAGCUAAAUAUGGACGAUUCUCCUGUAGAGUAUCUUCAG